rnacentral:lncRNA from 1 species
GCUUCAUAGCUCUAGUCCUAAUGUCAUCUACUAACCUUAGUAUCUAAGUCUCUUAGUCUAAUGUCUUAAUCCUCAGUCAGAACAUCUUUGGUACACCCAUGGAAUGAAUAGUAAUGACUGGCAUGGGCAGAGGUGAAGCCAUAUCCAUGAAAUGUAAGACUAUACAGAAAAUGUCAGAGAAAAAAGUAAUUUAAAAAACCUAUUAUGCUAGAAUAAAA